UACGUAGGGAGCAAGCGUUAUCCGGAAUUAUUGGGUGUAAAGAGUGCGUAGACGGGAGAGCAAGUUGGUGUGUGAAAUCCCUCGGCUUAACUGAGGAACUGCAACCAAAACUGUUUUUCUUGAGUGCUGGAGAGGAAAGUGGAAUUCCUAGUGUAGCGGUUAAAUGCGCAGAUAUUAGGAGGAACACCAGUGGCGAAGGCGACUUUCUGGACAGUAACUGACGUUGAGGCACGAAAGCGUGGGGAGCAAA
rnacentral:rRNA from 1 species